AAAGGUAAAGAAUCUAAGAGAGAAAAGGCCAUGUCAUCAUUGUUUACAAAGCAAACUAAACACCUGCAUGAUUGAUCUUCUGAAAUAGGCUAGCCCUAUAUAAAAAAGUGCUUCUCUGGAUGUGAGACUGAGAGCUGGCAUGGCAGGAGCUCAUGGAGUUCUCCUCUGAGCAGACAUGCCAUCAGGGUUAUGAUUAGAAUGUCAGAGCGGUUGCGAGCCGGGCUGGUGUUCAGUGGUGGACUAGCAUACACUGGAUCUAAAGUCUGAAUUCUCUCCAACAUGCUAUAAGUGCAGUGAUGCUGAGGCCUGCAAAUCUGCCACCUUGAAAAGGCCGGGGGAAAUGGAUGGAGGUCUGUUUGAAAGGACUGUUCACAGAGCACAUGGAGAACUGCUCCAUCAAAAGGUGGCACUGCCAAGACUCAGGACAAGGCUCUUGGAGUUAAUCCCUAAUUAGCUGAAUCAGCAGCAAAACAAUAAAGAGCCAACAAUUAUUAGUUUAGAGAGUUUGUGGGAAUGCAAAGCAAAGUCCAGAGGGAAUCGUUAUACAUUGACUUUGGAGCCAAUGAGUCACACAUAGUUCAACAGUUAAGAAAUGGCAAGACCAAAGAUAAUUAACCCAAACAAACUAUUAAUUUUCGAAUGAGACAAGGGGGCAGGCCCGGGAAUGCUGAAUGAAUGAACCACGAUCAUCAAAAGUCUUGCAGCUGUCUGGCUUAAAGAGUGAGUUUCCUUUCUUGGUGGCUUUAUAACCAGUUGCUUGCUAACAACAAAAAUUCCAUCUAGGGUAUGUAUUUAAGGUGCCAUGUUUGGCACUUCUAGCUGUGUUUUAAAUAGUCAAAGAUGUGGAAGAUGCUUUAAUUCCAUUUUUAAGGUCAGAAUUCUGUGUAAAGCAAGUCAGACUUUUGUGUCAUGAAAGAAAAGACACAGAAUCAGUCUCUGACAUUAGCGUUUAAACUUAAGCAAGAUAU